rnacentral:rRNA from 1 species
AGUGAACGCUGGCGGUAGGCCUAACACAUGCAAGUCGAACGGCAGCACAGUAAGAGCUUGCUCUUACGGGUGGCGAGUGGCGGACGGGUGAGGAAUACAUCGGAAUCUACUUUUUCGUGGGGGAUAACGUAGGGAAACUUACGCUAAUACCGCAUACGACCUACGGGUGAAAGCAGGGGAUCUUCGGACCUUGCGCGAUUGAAUGAGCCGAUGUCGGAUUAGCUAGUUGGCGGGGUAAAGGCCCACCAAGGCGACGAUCCGUAGCUGGUCUGAGAGGAUGAACCGCCAAAAUGGAAAUGGGAAACGGUCCAGACUCCUAAGGGAGGGAGGAGUGGGGAAUAUUGGACAAUGGGCGCAAGCCUGAUCCAGCCAUACCGCGUGGGUGAAGAAGGCCUUCGGGUUGUAAAGCCCUUUUGUUGGGAAAGAAAAGCAGCAGGUUAAUACCCCGCUGUUCUGACGGUACCCAAAGAAUAAGCAACGGCUAACUUCGUG